GUUGAGUUCUGUGCGUUUCUCUAAAAGUCUUUUGUAUAGGGGUAGCGUGUCGUUUCGGGCAUGGGUUUCCUUUAGUUCUCUGAUGUCUUUGGUCAGUUGUGUAACUUGUGUCUCGCGUUGUUUUUUGUGUCUAGAGGCUAUUUGUAUGAUUGUUCCUCUAAUAGCACUUUUAUGCGCUUCCCAUAUGAUGGGGUAUGGUGUGUCUGCUCUUGUAUUUAUUUCAAAAUAGUGAGCCAAGUGUUCAUCUAUUUGAGUUCGUAUUGCUUGAUCGUUGAGUAGGUUGUCGUUUAGUUUCCACUGUGCCCUAGUGGGGUGGAGGGUGGGGAUUGUUAUCGACAUUGACAGUGGGGCAUGGUCUGACCAUGUUAUGGGGGCGUAUUCACAGGUCUUGAUUAGGUUCAGGAAUCUAUGCGGAGUAAAGAGCAUGUCUAUUCUAGAGUAUGUUUUCGAUGAGUGUG